rnacentral:rRNA from 1 species
GACGAACGCUGGCGGCGCGCCUAACACAUGCAAGUCGAGCGAUGAAAUUUUAACCGUUCUCUUCGGAGAGAAGACAAAAUGGAUUAGCGGCGGACGGGUGAGUAACACGUGAGAAACCAGCCUUUCACAAGGGGAUAGCCUCGGGAAACCGGGAUCAAUACCCUAUGACACAUGUCCUUCGCAUGGAAGAAAUGUUAAAACUCCGGCGGUGGGAGAUGAUCUCGCGCCCGAUUAGCUAGUUGGUGGGGUAGCGGCUGACCAAGGCCAGGACGGGUAACCGGCCUGACAGGGGGGGCGGCCCCAUUGGGACGGAGAGACGGCCCAGACACCUACCGGAGGGAGCAGUGGGGAAGAGUGCACAAUGGGCGGAAGCCAGAUGCAGCAACGCCGCGUGCGGGAUGACGGCCGUCGUGUUGUAACCCGCUUUCGCCUGUGACGAAGCGUGAGUGACGGUAAUGGGUAAAGAAGCCCCGGCUAACUACGUG